GACGUAGGGCGCGAGCGUUGUCCGGAUUUAUUGGGCGUAAAGAGCUCGUAGGCGGCUUGUCGCGUCGAAUGUGAAAUCCUGCGGCUCAACUGCAGGCUUGCAUUCGAUACGGGCAGACUAGAGUGCGGUAGGGGAGACUGGAAUUCCUGGUGUAGCGGUGAAAUGCGCAGAUAUCAGGAGGAACACCGGUGGCGAAGGCGGGUCUCUGGGCCGUAACUGACGCUGAGGAGCGAAAGCGUGGGGAGCGAACAGG
rnacentral:rRNA from 1 species